rnacentral:rRNA from 1 species
UGCGCAGGCGGCUCUUUAAGACAGGUGUGAAAUCCCCGGGCUUAACCUGGGAAUUGCGCUUGUGACUGGGGAGCUCGAGUGCGGCAGAGGGGGAUGGAAUUCCUGGUGUAGCAGUGAAAUGCGUAGAUAUCAGGAGGAACACCGAUGGCGAAGGCAGUCCCCUGGGUCGACACUGACGCUCAUGCACGAAAGCGUGGGGAGCAAACAGGAUUAGAUACCCUGGUAGUCC